GUCUGGCCUUUGUAACAAUGCAAAGGGAAACAAAAACCUCAAACAAGUCUGACAGGUGCUAUUGUUGCAGCCUUUACUGUCCCGUAGCAUAUGGUCACAUUAUGACAACUCCAAAUACCAUUGCUCAUAGCUGGAUAUUUUUCAUAUAAGGGAGCAAUACUGGGCUCAAGGUGACAGGACCACAAGGGUGAGGGGAAAGCACACCAACAGGACAUGGGGGUAGGGUCAGUGAAGCAUGGGCAUACCUUGCCAUUGCACUGUUGCAGGGAGGACCGCAAGGCAUACAGGAC